rnacentral:rRNA from 1 species
UGAGGAAUAUUGGUCAAUGGGCUUACGCCUGAACCAGCCAAGUCGCGUGAGGGAAGACUGCCCUAUGGGUUGUAAACCUCUUUGUCAGGGAGCAACGCCGGCUACGUGUACGCCGGACUGAGAGUACCUGAAAGAAAAAGCAUCGGCUAACUCCGUGCC